CAAUAGCGUAUAUUAAAGUUGUUGCAGUUAAAAAGCUCGUAGUUGGAUUUCUGAUGGGAGCGAUCGGUCUGGCGCUUAGCGCGAGUACUUGCAUCGUCUCCGGCCAUCCUUGGGGAGAGUCUGUCUGGCAUUAGGUUGUCGGGCAGAGGAUCCUCAUCGUUUACUGUGAAAACAUUAGAGUGUUCAAAGCAGGCUUAUGCCGUUGAAUAUAUUAGCAUGGAAUAAUAAGAUAGGACUUUGGUACUAUUUUGUUGGUUUGCGCACCAAAGUAAUGAUUAAUAGGGACAGUUGGGGGUAUUCGUAUUCCGUUGUCAGAGGUGAAAUUCUUGGAUUACGGAAGACGAACUACUGCGAAAGCAUUUACCAAGGAUGUUUUCAUUAA
rnacentral:rRNA from 1 species